rnacentral:rRNA from 1 species
UACAGAGGUCCCAAGCGUUGUUCGGAAUUACUGGGCGUAAAGCGUGCGCAGGCGGUGAUGUAAGACAGAUGUGAAAUCCCCGGGCUCAACCUGGGACCUGCAUUUGUGACUGCAUCGCUGGAGUACGGUAGAGGGGGAUGGAAUUCCGCGUGUAGCAGUGAAAUGCGUAGAUAUGCGGAGGAACACCGAUGGCGAAGGCAAUCCCCUGGACCUGUACUGACGCUCAUGCACGAAAGCGUGGGGAGCAAACAGG